CAUGCAGUCGAACGGUAACAGGUCUUCGGAUGCUGACGAGUGGCGAACGGGUGAGUAAUACAUCGGAACGUGCCCGAUCGUGGGGGAUAACGGAGCGAAAGCUUUGCUAAUACCGCAUACGAUCUACGGAUGAAAGCAGGGGACCGCAAGGCCUUGCGCGGACGGAGCGGCCGAUGGCAGAUUAGGUAGUUGGUGGGAUAAAAGCUUACCAAGCCGACGAUCUGUAGCUGGUCUGAGAGGACGACCAGCCACGCUGGGACUGAGACACGGCCCAGACUCCUACGGGAGGCAGCAGUGGGGAAUUUUGGACAAUGGGCGCAAGCCUGAUCCAGCCAUGCCGCGUGCAGGAUGAAGGCCUUCGGGUUGUAAACUGCUUUUGUACGGAACGAAAAGACUCUUUCUAAUAAAGAGGGUCCAUGACGGUACCGUAAGAAUAAGCACCGGCUAACUACGUGCCAGCAGCCGCGGUAAUACGUAGGGUGCGAGCGUUAAUCGGAAUUACUGGGCGUAUAGCGUGCGCAGGCGGUGAUGUAAGACAGAUGUGAAAUCCCCGGGCUCAACCUGGGAACUGCAUUUGUGACUGCAUCGCUGGAGUGCGGCAGAGGGGGAUGGAAUUCCGCGUGUAGCAGUGAAAUGCGUAGAUAUGCGGAGGAACACCGAUGGCGAAGGCAAUCCCCUGGGCCUGCACUGACGCUCAUGC
rnacentral:rRNA from 1 species